rnacentral:sRNA from 1 species
GCCGGGUGCAGUGGUGCACAUCUGUAAUCCCAGCAGCUCGGGAGGCUGAGGCAGGAGGAUCUCCAGUUCAAAGCCAGCCUCAG